rnacentral:rRNA from 1 species
GUGAGGAAUUUUCCGCAAUGGGCGAAAGUCUGACGGAGCAAUGCCGCGUGAAGGAUGAAGGCCUAUGGGUUGUAAACUUCUUUUCUUAGAGAAGAAUAUUGACGGUAUCUGAGGAAUAAGCAUCGGCUAACUCUGUGCCAGCAGCCGCGGUAAGACAGAGGAUGCAAGCGUUAUCCGGAAUGAUUGGGCGUAAAGCGUCUGUAGGUGGCUUCAAAAGUCUCCUGUCAAAGAUCAGGGCUUAACCCUGGGCCGGCAGGAGAAACUCUGAGGCUAGAGUUUGGUAGGGGCAGAGGGAAUUCCCGGUGGAGCGGUGAAAUGUGUAGAGAUCGGGAGGAACACCAAAGGCGAAAGCACUCUGCUGGGCCACAACUGACACUGAGAGACGAAAGCGAGGGGAGCAAAAGGGAUUAGAAACCCGAGUAGUCC